AACCAAACGGCGCCUACAACCGCAGCAUCCGCGCAGGAACCAACGUGCUGCCGGCUCCUUUCUCGCGGUGGCGCUGUUUCACUCCGGACUCUUACGGUGGGACACAAACGUGAAGAUAAUAUUUAAGGUGAUGGCUUUCACCUUUUCAGAGUUACUGAGUUUUCCUGGAUCUCUGCCGCGUAUACAGAAGGGGAAGCCAGCUGGUGGCAGCAGAAGAGACAAGAUAGAGGAUGCAAGAUGGCAGAGGAAGAGAAAAAAAAAAAAAAACGCCUGAAUUCUAGAAGAUCAAGGUACAAGUUUUCUAGCUCAGAUAGCUAACACAAAAAGUAUCGGCUGUCUCGAAGUCUUACUCACCUACCCUCUGGGCUGUUUCUCUGAGUUGCAGACGGUGUGAGACUGUGAUGGUACAGUGUGCACAGGAGAACCCCAUGGCCCUGAUGCAGGAAAUUGCCUUCAGAAGCUUUGAGGAAGCUCAGGUGUCAGUCAGAAACAAGGAUUGGCCAGCAAUGGAGCCCUAGAGAAAAGCAAGUUGCCAUGAAAUUCUCAGCAUAGCUGCUUGAAUGUAACAGUGGACUUGAGGACUUCCCUUCUGCCUGUUCCUCACACACAGGACAGUGAACCUCUCAAAGUGCAGGUAGGAAUUAUUCCAGUAGCCA